rnacentral:rRNA from 1 species
GCUCUAUGAGUUAUUUAAAUGGCCGCAGUACUUUGACUGUGCAAAGGUAGCAUAGUCACUUGCUUCUUAAUUGGGAGCUGGAAUGAAAGAGGCGACGAAAUCUGGACUAUUUAAAUUUAAGRAYAAAUUGACAAGCAGCUCAAAAGGCCUGCAUGCRCCARUGGGACGAUAAGACCCUAUAAAACUUUACUYUUAAUAAGGUGACAACCAGAAAUUUAGCYCYAUUUGAGAGUUUAACUGGGGCGGUAGUUAUAAAAACAAUUAUAUAUAUAAUAUAUUAAAUAGUGUUAGUAGAACUCUUUAAGAAAUAGAACAAGUUACUUUAGGGAUAACAGCGUAAUUCUCCCAGAGAGUUCUAAUUGGCGGGAGAGCUUACGACCUCGAUGUUGAAUUGGGGUGUCUUGUAUAAGCAGAUAUAUGUAUAGGCAGUCUGUUCGACUGUUAAAUCCCC